AUAAAACUUCAUGGUCCCCUUCCCCCACACAUUAUAAUUUAGCAGUGCCAUACAAAAACAUUCUGAAACCAACUCGGUCAAGUGUUUUAAAGAACCCAUCAAACGUUCACUGGGGCGUGAUGUCUAAGAAGCGGAAGAGGGGAAGUGCACGGCACAUUCCCGUCAGGAUCGCCCAGUACCUUUGGUAUUCCCACGUGGCACAGCCCGAGCCCCGCCCUUUCCGCAGGGUGGCUCGGAGGGCAACGCUGAGGGAGCUUAAUUUCUGGGUGAGAACUGCAAGUAAUGGUAACUGGUAACUCAACUGAAGAAGAUGACCCUAUCUUCUGCAUCAUAACGUGAAUAUAUACUUGAUAAAAGCCUCAAAUAACUUUUUGGCUGCCAUCUUUAGCUACCUCAAAGGAGAAAACAGAAAAAGGAGUACUGAUGAUGGAAGCAUCUGGUCCCUCUUGCAGAAUGAUGAAUGAUUUUAUUGGCGGCAGCUGGGUGGCAGGGCAAUACAGGCAUCCAGUUGUGCCUGAACCCCAACAAGUGAAAUCUUUGUUCAUUUCCUUUUUAUACACCCAUCUGCCGCCUAAAACCUGACACCAUUUAAUGGUGCCCUUGGUCAAAUCUAAAUGCUUUUACUUUCAUAAUCCUCUGAUUCUAUCUUGAAGAGUCAAGAUGAACUCUAACUCAUGGGAUGGACAAAAUGGAAGAUGUAAAUAAGUAAGCUUUUCAGAGCUAAAAAGCCUCUUUUUAUACAAAAUUAAACUUUAAAAGUACAUUGACCUCGAAACAAUAUAAUUGUCUUGGAUAUGCAAGAAAAAUAGCAGUAUAAAUAUUUAGCAUCAUACCCACAAUGAACAUCUGUGGCUACCCAACCUGUUCAUAUGCCUCAUUAAUUAUAGGCCUUACUCUGAAUGUUUCUUGUUCUAUCUUUGUAUUCCCACCUGCCAAGGAGUUCUUUUAUAAAUUAUAACAUUCCCCAUAUGUGCAAUGCUAAUAUAACUUGUGGAGGGAGAGAGAAAGCCUUUCUCUCCUAUUCCUGAAAAAUCACUGACCUAUUCCUUGAGUCUAUGAGUAAUAACUCCCUACUCAGUCCCUAAAACUAAAAAGUUUGAUCACCUUCAAAGUAGAUUAAAAAAAUGUGUUCAAGUGGUAGCUGACAAGAAUUCACUGUAACCAGAACUGUGUGAUGGAUAAUGCAUAAUAUGAAAUAAACCUUUAUACAAAAAUAGUUCCUUAUAAUGUUACCUAUCAUGAGAGUUUUCAGUAAAAUUGUAAAUUAUGCUGCUGGUAUAUGUUGAUCAAUGAAAGACAGUAACGAAACUACAUUACCAAUUACUAAAAGUUUAUACAUACAUAAAAUAAAAGUUUUUAACAUCUUCA